AUGGCGCCCGCGGCGGGCGUCGCGUCGGCGCAAGAGGCCGCCUCCCAUUGGCCGGCGGGAAGCGGCCGCCCAAUCACGAAGCGCGUGACUCAGCGAUCGCGGCCCCGCCAGCGGGGCGCGCGGCCGACACAGCGACCCCAGCAGGCGAGGCGGGGUGCGGUGGGGGGGGAGAGAGAGAGGCCUCCCGCGAGCCUCCCUCAGGGUUACGGGUUCGAAUCCCGCAGCAGCUUGCCGCUGGGCACCGCACGAGCAGGCACCACCGGGACUCGUCCGGGUCAGGCUCGGGCCGUCUCCUCGCACGCUGAGGUGUCCAGGCCUCGAGGUGGUGUCUGUGUCCCGGUCACAAAUAGCCGUGAAGGCGUGCCUGGGGCCGGGGACCAACCCUCAGGGCGCCGGAGGGCGAGCUGGGCGCAGACGGCUCCUUCAGUCUUCCAUGAAAGAAGUCAUUCCUGCAGUCUUACAGCUAUUUUAUCACCAGCCUUUCUCCUUCAUCUAACCUGUAUGUACAUGAUUAAUGAUCUCUCUUUGAUCAAGCUUCUACAUGCAUUGCCACUGCAAGUCCUGCUCUGUAUAGUUAUGUUCAGGCAUCUGGAUUCCACAUGAUAAUUUCUUUAGGUUUUUAUCUACUGUCUUCCUUUGCGCAAAUGACAAACUGAAAGAAAACAGUAGAAAAAGACUUUGUAUGAUGUCUUAAAAUAUCAUCUACUGAGAUCUCAAGUUUUUGCAACUCCUGCAAAGUUCAUGGAAACUGCAGCUGCUCAGCAUCACUCGGGGUUAGAUAUUUCAUUUCUUGUUCUUUACAUUAAUGCUUGUGUUCAAUCUAAAUCAGGUGUCAUAUUCCUAUUUGCAAGUGUAUUUUUCUUUCCUGGAUAAGGAAUUCAGAUAAGAGUAUUAAAUUCAUUAAAAUAGUUACCUGUCACCAUGACACACUGCUGGCAGGUAAAAUAGGCUGGUCUUCCUAGCUAAAAGUAGCUUUUUAUAAAAAUCUCUGCAUUAUCAUGUUAAAUUAUGGAUGUGAUGGGAAACAGUAGGACAUACUCUGAUCUUAGUUAUAUUUUUUAUAUUGGUAACAGUUUAAUAAAGAAGAAAAUUUGGUGCUGAGAUGAUAAUCC
rnacentral:lncRNA from 1 species